rnacentral:lncRNA from 1 species
GUCCACUUUACAUCAACAAUAAAUUGGACAAGAAAUUGACCAAGUUAUUCAAGGCCAAAUUUGACGUGUAAAAGCACACUUUGACAUCUAAGUUUGUUCGUUAUAAACUUCACGUGAAGAAAUUGACGAAAAAGAAAAUUGUUCUAUUUUUUCAUUUUAUUUGGCGUGAAUUCAGUGUCACCAACCUGUGUCCAUUUGGCGGGAAGUGGAAGUAGAGCUUUUUGUUUAUUAUUAUUUGUUGAGGUUGAGUCUUUCAUGUUCAUGACAACCUAAAAAUUUUGAUUGGAAAAUGCAUAUAAGAUAAGGGGGUGGAAAAAUGGAAAUUAGUGGCUUUUUUUGCAGUUCUGUCUGUUAGUUUUGCGUUUUGCUCUGGCUGGGUCUCUUUUGUUUAAACAAUUAUAAUCAGCUGAAAGUGGUCUACAAAAAAACCAGGAAGGAAACGUAUUAUAGCCUUGUUGUGGCUAUGAAAGGCAAAAGAAAGAUACCUAUAAAAAGUGUAUUGACUAGUUGGAAGAAACUCCACAUUGUCGAUGCAUAAUAAGAUAUUACUUUAUAAACAAAUAUCAAGACCUAGGAAUGGAACCUGGAUAAUAUAGUCAUCAAGAAUAAUUGGAUAGCAGGAAGUCAUAAGCAACAACAACUUCAUAAGUAUGAGAAUAUUGAGGAAAUCCAGCUCCUCAUAUCUACUACUGGACAAACUAGAAGAUUGAAGAGGACAAAGCCUUUUGAACUUGUUUGAGUGAUAGGUGAUAGUGAAAAGCAGAGCGUAGUGCUUGUGUGCCUGUGUAUGUUAGAAUAGUGCACGAUCUUGUUAGAUUAGAUAAGAGACGCUAUGGGGUAAGCUCUUCAUUUUAAGGAACAGUAGUAAUUUAGGUUAAAUUAAAAUUGCUCAUUGGUCAGUUAUGACCAGAUUGUAAUUCUCUGAUGUUUGGCAAAAAGGGCUUAAGUCAGAAUUGCACAUCAAUAAUGUUUUGAUGAUUUCUGGACCAUAAAAAAAGUGUUGCAGACUUAAACUGUAUGUACCAAUAAAAAGAGCCGAUUUUUCUGGUCCAGAAAUCAUCAAAACAUUAUCGAUGUGCAAUUCUGACUUAAGCCCUUUUUCCCAAACAUCAGAGAAUUGCAAUGUACAAUUCAAUACAAAUGAAUCAUCAUCGUAGUGAUGAUUAUGGAAAAAAAUAUAUGACAAGAUUUUGUGCAAUAAAAAUGUUUAUAUUUA